AUUUCAAUUGUCGUAGUUACAAAGUGUAACCAUAGCUCAAAUAUAUACCUUUUACAAAUGUAUCUAACGAGUAUAAAACGUUCACAUGAUGUGACAAUUACAAUACAAAUAUUGGAAUCUUUGUGUGUAUUAUAACACACACUUAAUAGAAUGUCUAACAUUGAAAGCCCAGUAUUGAUAGGCCCAAUUUGAGUUAAGAAUGAGACACAAACAGUGGCCCAACUUAAACAAAUUAAUAGCCCAUCAACAUCUUCUCAAAACGGUGAGUAUUGAGAAGCACCAAUGUAGCUAACACAACUUCAAUUCGCACUAGAGGAACCCUAGGUGAAGCGAACCAUUAAAACUGAAAUUGAAGAAGAAGAUGCUCAGUUUAUCACCCCCCCCCCCGGGCAAGCUGAGCAGGAGAUCUUCGCAUGUUCAGCUUGUCUAGAAGGUGAAGAAUCCAUUGGACUGACAGAGGUUUCUUGAGAAGAUUGCUCGGUUGGUCUGCUGUUUUGAGGUAAGAGAUCAAAGAAAAGAGGGAGAGGAAGAUAGCAUGGAGAAUAAGAAGAAGAAGAAGAAGAGAGAGAAUAAACAACUGAAAAUAUAUUUCAAUUGUCGUAGUUAAAAAGUGUAACCACAGCUCAAAUAUAUACCUUUUACAAAUGUAUCUAACGGAUAUAAAACGUUCACAUGAUGUGACAAUUACAAUACAAAUAUUUGAAUCUUUGUGUGUAUUAUAACACACACUUAA